GGACACACAUACACACUUCCCCAAUAAAGGCAGCUGAGGGAGGAAUACCUGUGCCAAGAAUCUGAGGCUAAGGUUAAAGUUAGAUUUAUGAGAGAGAGAGAGAGCCAUUUGCACCAUUUCCUCUAAAGCUUUUCCAAGAACUACACGGAGCAUCCAUUCGGAUGGGCCUGACUGUUGGGUGGUCCCAACAAGCCUAGAGCAUCAUGUACUGUGGUGAAGGAUGAAGAUGCUUUAUUUUUCUGGCUUGCAUCACCUAAUGUGUUUUCAGCAUGCACAGAAACUGUUUCCUGAUCAGCCGCUUGGUUUAAAGGGAAUGUUGAUCACAUGUGAAACCUUUUAGCCCUUUGCUUUAUUUUAGUUUUGUAAAAGGUAAAAUGCUUUAUUUACUCAGGCUAAGGUAAAUAUUCAACCCCUAAAUAAAAAAACAGGGUUAGUGAAACACAUGUUAAAAACAGCUAAUUAGAUUAGAGGGAUAUUUCAGCCCUUUAGCUUUCUUCGGGCUAUGGAAGCAGAUUUAACAAGGUUAGUUGUUUUUUGUCUGUAGCCUAAAGAAGGUUCAGAACUGAAAUCUUCCCUCAAGCCCAUUUGUAAAUUUCUACUAUGCAUUUUAGAAUCUCCCUCCCUGUUUUUCUCUAUAGUCUACAUAUUAAUGUAAAACCUGUUUCAUUGGCCAUCCCAGGAAGCAUUAAGUUUGGCUCAUUAAGUCUUUGCUGAUUUAGGUAUAUAUAUUUUAUAUUGUACCAUAUCCUCUUGCGGAGAAUUAGGUGCCUUUUAAAUCUAGGGAGGUGGAGCAAAUGAUGAACACUGGGUUGGAUUCUCUAUUGACAUUUGGCCUCUUUGUGUCACUUGGGAAGCAAAGGCAACAGAUUCUGGCUGCCAUCUGCCAGAAGAGAAUUCCCUGGCUAUGGGGAGCUCUUGCCAUGUGUGUAUAUGCCAGAUCUGGGCCCUGCAUCUGCCUUGACAAAACUCCCAUUGACUUCAAUGGGGCCUGGGAUUUUACCUAUAGAGCUUUUAUACAUAUUAUGUAGGACGCAUAGACCACAUUUUGUUUGGGGUUUCCUGGAGUCUUAGACGUGCAUACCUAGCUCCAGGUCAUUAACUGCCCUUGCCAAAACUGAGGUGUCUCUUUCUUUCCCCUCCAUACCAUUCAUAAUUUGGAUAUAUUUCAGCUCAUGGCUUACGUACAUUAAUGGGAUGAGAUAACUAUGUAGUUUAUGCAAUGGAGCUAUUUAUUCACAUUGCUUUCACAUAAGUUUGUAUGUAACCACUCCAUGUACUGGCCUCCAAUAAAAGUCAAUUUCAAUAAGAA